CCUACGGGGUGCAGCAGUGGGGAAUAUUGGACAAUGGGCGAAAGCCUGAUCCAGCCAUGCCGCGUGUGUGAAGAAGGCCUUCGGGUUGUAAAGCACUUUCAGUGGGGAAGAAAGCCUUGGGGCUAAUACCCUCGAGGAAGGACAUCACCCACAGAAGAAGCACCGGCUAACUCCGUGCCAGCAGCCGCGGUAAUACGGAGGGUGCGAGCGUUAAUCGGAAUUACUGGGCGUAAAGCGCGCGUAGGCGGUCUGAUAAGCCGGUUGUGAAAGCCCCGGGCUCAACCUGGGAACGGCAUACGGAACGGACAGGGGAGAGUCGCGUAGAGGGGGGGAGAAGUCGCGGUGGAGCGGUGAGAUGCGUAGAGAUCUGGGGACACAACGGUGGCUAAGGGGGCAGACUAGACAAUGACUGAAGCCCAGGUGCGAAUCAGUGGGGAGGCAACAGGACUAGCUACACCUGUAGAG
rnacentral:rRNA from 1 species